rnacentral:sRNA from 22 species
AUGAGUGCCUGUUCACAUACUUUUUUCCGCAGUUGCGCUGCAGAUCGCGUAGUCGUCGUCGCUGACCACAAGGCAGUGACAACGGCAAUGAAGCGAGCCACGAGGCGCCAUGCGAUGACCGAAGUCGAGCCGCUUGCCCCGGUUGCCGGGGCGGCGGCUUUUUUA